rnacentral:rRNA from 1 species
AAACAGGUUAAUAUUCCUGUACUUGGUGUUACUGCGAAGGGGGGACGGAGAAGGCUAUGUUAGCCGGGCGACGGUUGUCCCGGUUUAAGCAUGUAGGCUGGUUAUCCAGGCAAAUCCGGAUAAUCAAGGCUGAGGUGUGAUGACGAGGCACUACGGUGCUGAAGUAACAAAUGCCCUGCUUCCAGGAAAAGCCUCUAAGCAUCA